AAUGAAAUAAAAAUAAAAUAGUUUCAUAUUCAAACUAGUCACUGAAAAACUCCACAAUUUUAUUGUCUUAAAACACGCUUCAGCAUUCAGAAAAUGAUGGUAGGUUAGGUUGCUUUACUUCCUUGGGAACAUGCCUCAAUAGCCAAACUAGCUUAUACCAGCUGGUUCUAUAAUGGGAGUUCCAUGAGGCUGUCAAGUUCCUACCUUUAGAUUGGUACUGCAUGAUUUUAAG
rnacentral:misc_RNA from 1 species